UUGUAAGUGGCAGAGUGGC
rnacentral:snRNA from 1 species